AUGCUUAGGCAAAGCAGGCACCAGAACAUUCCUCCAGAGCUUCACUGGGGCCCUCCUCUUCAGCAUGACGGUCCCCGGCCACCUGAUCCAGAGCUGGCGGCUCCCAGGCAUAGCCCAUCCCUGCUGCGGCCCUGCACUACCCCAGUCCUCACCUGCAUGCAGGGGACUGUUCACAUGCUGACCGUCUGUCCAUCUCCUGUAAGGACGUCGGCUCCUUCCAUGUCUGCUGGGCUGAGGAUCCCUCACAGCCUCCCUGACCUCAGAGCCAUGAAAGACUUGCAAGGCUUGAAGCAAACUCUGAACGGGCCCUUCACAGAUAAAUUCUACCAGCAUGAUUAUACACAUCGAAAUCCUCAGGGGUCAGCACGAAGUGUCUGCAUAGACGUACCCAAACACCCGGGGCCUGGCAUUCCAAUAAACCCUCUGGACAGAGCGGCAUCUCCUCUUCACACAGUGAAACUAACUGCAGCUCUUCUCCUCCUGGAUGUGCAAGCGUCCACAAACAGGUAUUUUCCCCAUUUCCUGUUCGGUUCAAAGGUUAUUCCUAAAAAGCAGUCAUUGACCUGUUUUUCAUUUUUUGACUGAGAAAUGUAUUGACUAUGAACGCACAAAAUAUUUGCUGCACUGUAUACUCCUCUCUUACUGACACAAGAUCACUGGAAAAGCCAUCUCAGAAAAAAAUGGAAGAUUUCAGGAGGAGCUGGAGUGAAAGAAACCCAAGGUCGUUCAGCUCAUUACAUGUUAGUUAAAUGUUACAGUUUCAUAUAUUUAAAAAAACCCCAGAUACUCCCUUAAAAAAAUUAGUCUUUUCCUGUGUGUAUUUUAUCUCAAAUAAAAAAGGAUUCUAAUUUUAUCUGUGUUCAUAAGUCGAUAAAAAAAUGGUUAGGCUGGGGUUGUUUACUUUUUCAUAAGAUUCUCUGAGCAGCAGAAGGAAAGAAAACCAACCCAAGUCCAGCAUUUUCUGAGCACACUGAAACAGCCAGGUCCCUUCAACCCAUCUGGAAAGAAAUUAAUUAGUUCUCUGUGUUAGUUUAAUAUGAAAUUAUUUUAUUUUCACUGUUUUUUUUUUUCUUUCUUUCUUUCUUUUUCAUUUUCUUUCUGGCUAUGAGGAAGGGGAAAAAAAAAAAAAACGGUGUGAAGGACCGGCUAUGGUUCCUUACCGCCCAUUUUCUCUCCAGGCUUUUCUUGGUUCCCAGCUUUUGCUUUUUAAAUUUUUCCCUGUCUUUUUGGUUGAAAAUGUACAAAAUGUGUAUUUUAAAUAUCAAAAAAUUAUACAUUUUGAACAUGACAAAAUCUUAGAUCCACAAUACGUUUUUACAAAAAUAUUAUUUUAAAAAUACCGUCUGCUUUCCCUCUACUUGAAUUAAAAUGUCAUGUUCAUUUCUUAUCUUCUGAUCUGCUCAAUCUGACAUUUGUUAGAUGUGAAAAAGUUCUGCAGACUAUUUCUGAGAAUAUUUGAAAAAUGUGAACAACCGACAUGUAAAAUGUCCGCGGGAGCAUGCUUGCGGAGUUCACAUUCAUUUUUCAGACGCUGGGGUGCUGGGAGCGGCGAGCGUCCUUCCUGGGCACCGCGGGGCGGCCGUCC
ensembl:lincRNA